GAUGAACGCUGGCGGCGUGCCUAAUACAUGCAAGUCGAGCGAAUGGAUUAAGAGCUUGCUCUUAUGAAGUUAGCGGCGGACGGGUGAGUAACACGUGGGUAACCUGCCCAUAAGACUGGGAUAACUCCGGGAAACCGGGGCUAAUACCGGAUAACAUUUUGAACCGCAUGGUUCGAAAUUGAAAGGCGGCUUCGGCUGUCACUUAUGGAUGGACCCGCGUCGCAUUGGCUAGUUGGUGAGGUAACGGCUCACCAAGGCAACGAUGCGUAGCCGACCGGAGAGGUUGAUCGGCCACACUGGGACUAAGACACGGCCCAGACUCCUACGGGAGGCAGCAGUAGGGAAUCUUCCGCAAUGGACGAAAGUCUGACGGAGCAACGCCGCGUGAGUGAUGAAGGCUUUCGGGUCGUAAAACUCUGUUGUUAGGGAAGAACAAGUGCUAGUUGAAUAAGCUGGCACCUUGACGGUACCUAACCAGAAAGCCACGGCUAACUACGUGCCAGCCGCCGCAGUAA
rnacentral:rRNA from 1 species